GACGAACGCUGGCGGCGUGCUUAACACAUGCAAGUCGAACGGAAAGGCCCUGCUUUUGUGGGGUGCUCGAGUGGCGAACGGGUGAGUAACACGUGAGUAACCUGCCCUUGACUUUGGGAUAACUUCAGGAAACUGGGGCUAAUACCGGAUAGGAGCUCCUGCUGCAUGGUGGGGGUUGGAAAGUUUCGGCGGUUGGGGAUGGACUCGCGGCUUAUCAGCUUGUUGGUGGGGUAGUGGCUUACCAAGGCUUUGACGGGUAGCCGGCCUGGGAGGGUGACCGGGCCAGGUUGAGGCGGAGACGCGGCCUAUGGGCGGACGGGGGGCAGCAGGGGUGAGGAGUGCACAGGGGGGGGACUCCGGACGCAGCGACGCGGCGGGCGGGAUCACGGGCGUGGGGGUGUCAACCGCUCGCGGGGGUGACGGAGCGGGAGUGAGGGGAAUGGGAAAAGGAGCACCGGGUAACUAGGUGAGAGCGGCCGCGGUAAAAGAAGGAGCCCACAUCUCAUC
rnacentral:rRNA from 1 species